GGUAAAAUGGCUGAGCUUAGGCGGUAAGCUGUAAACUUAUUGACGAAUUAAUUUUCUUUUACC
rnacentral:tRNA from 1 species